GAUGAACGCUAGCGGCAGGCCUAACACAUGCAAGUCGAGGGGCAGCACAUAAAGUGGUUUACUACUUUUAGUGGCGACCGGCGGACGGGUGCGUAACGCGUAUGCAACCUGCCUCCAACAGGGGGAUAACGGAGAGAAAUUUCCACUAAUACCCCAUAAUAUCAGAAUCGGCAUCGGUUUUGGUUGAAAACUCCGGUGGUUGGAGAUGGGCAUGCGUUGUAUUAGAUAGUUGGUGAGGUAACGGCUCACCAAGUCAACGAUACAUAGGGGGACUGAGAGGUUAGCCCCCCACACGGGUACUGAGACACGGACCAGACUCCUACGGGAGGCAGCAGUGAGGAAUAUUGGUCAAUGGGGGCAACCCUGAACCAGCCAUGCCGCGUGCAGGAAGACGGCUCUAUGAGUUGUAAACUGCUUUUACAAGGGGAUAAAUCGGUGUACGUGUACACCGUUGAAGGUACCUUGGGAAUAAGGAUCGGCUAACUCCGUGCCAGCCGCCGCAGUAA
rnacentral:rRNA from 1 species